UGGAAGGGCGGAAUGUCGCUGACUGUUUCCAGCAUUAGGGUGCCUGCGGAGUGGACGCUCAAAGCCGAGCCGAGCGCAAAGCUAACGAACACGAAUCAGUUCAAUGCGUGAAAACCAGUUUUAAAGCGUUUUUCGGCGCCGACUCGCGUGUUACAUAGUUCAUUUGUAUGGUGGUCUCAUAUUUUGCUUUCGAGAAAUUGCUAUGAAUGUGGUAGAACAAUAUUUAGAAUACCCUCUAUUAAUAUUUUCAAGGUAAAUUUUCUUUCUUUUUGUCACAAAACAUACAUUAAUUAAAUACAUGUCUGGUUUUAAAUAAAAUUAUACACCAACUAAAUCCUUUGCGGUUAAAAUGAAACUGUUACGAACAAGAAACAGAACAGAACAGUAUAAUACGAAAGUCUCUGAGGUACCUAAAAUCGGCUGGGCAUUGAGCGUCCACUCCGCAGGCACCCUUAGGCGUUUUCAUUUGAAACUGUGAAAAGAGGACAUAUAGGAAUUAUAUAAAGCCAACUGUUAUCGCACUUUUAGAAAUUAUAUGGGAAGUAUGCCCGAUAUCCCGAUUUCAACAAUUUCCACACGGCAAAAUGAAAUUUUCUCACGGUGUUUUGUUUGAUUUGGGAGAAAUGUACAUUAAACCAAGCACGUGUACAAAUUUUCAUCAAGAUGUCUCCGUUUUUUCAACUGAAGUAAAUAAAACUAGUAUAUUCUGUGCAACAUGUGCUUUCCAGAAUGAAAAUCAUCAAGAAGACCUAAAAGAGCUCGUUCCAUAUGCUUCACGUCCGGAACUUCUGAGACAAAUGAGUGAUGUUUAAUAGGACGGCGAUCGAAUUCGUUUACGUUUGAGCUACUGCCCGCAUUGGUGGUGUUUAACGAAG